AGUUAAUAAUAACAUAUCUAUACUGGUUCAUGAAUUGUGACAAAUGUAUCAUCCUAAUAUAAGAUGUUAAUAAGAGAGGAAACUGGAUGUAGGAUAAAUGGGAACUCUCUGGAGCAUCUUUGCAAUUUUUCUGUAAAUCUAAAACUACUGCAAAAGUAGUCUAUUAAAAAACAACUCAACCUAAAUUUGCUGUUAUUUCCAAAUGUAUACAGAGUUCACUGGGGGGAAAUCCAUGAUUUUAUGGGUUACACAUGUUUCCUCCUAUCACCAAGGAGACUGUGGUAAUUUAUCCCACAUUCGCUGAGUCCUGUGGAAGCAUCUAUAAAGCAGGGAAAGCGCAAGAACCUUUUCAAAGUCCCGUAGCACAAGCUGUACUCAAGAACCCAAGUUUCCAGGAAGAAAGUACAAAAAAAUUUUUUCUCGUUGUUUGUUUUUUUCCAGGGCUGAAAUGAGAAGAUAGAGCUCCCUCAUAACUUCGGGACUACUGGCUGGGUCAUUUCUGCUUUCCCAAGAGGGGGUCUGUCCCACUAGUCCAACCAUCACUGAAGGGUUGGCUGAUGAGCAACCAAAAUUCCACCUGAACCUGAACUUCACCUUGCCAUGCAAGUCAACAAAUUCACAGAGUCCAGGGAUCGGGGUGCGGACCUCUGGCAGGAGAGGUCAUUAUUCUGCCUACAAGAGCUUUCUUGGUUAAGGGGACAAGUUCUGUUCUUAAUACUCACUCUUUCCUACAACAUGUGGGUUCACUUUUCCUCUCUGUGAGAUUGCCAAAAGAAAAUGCAAAAUCCCAACCCCCCCCACCCCAGCCCUUAAACCAGAGGAGUUUUAUUACUUUUAACUAAAAGGAUACUUGUUUCAGCAGACAUAAUACAAAGCAUCAGGUAAACAUGGGAGCCAGCUCGUGGAGGCCUCAACAGAUUGUCAGGCUCUCACCACGCUCCUCUCUACCUGACACAGCUGUUUAGGCACCAGGGUCUGACAUCUGGCCCUGGGAGCCCAGCCAAAAAGCGGAAUUAGAGGAUGGUGUCGUGAUGGGAGCUGACAGGGGCUCCAUAGUCCCGAGUCUUAUGGUUUCCACCAGUGUCUUCACGUUGGUCAGUUUUAUAGUCUCUGCAGAGUUGGAAGGCUGCCAAGCAAAUGGCCCCUGGACAUUUAUUCAUUGUUCAGCCAAGCAUGUGAUACAGCUGCCCUCCAACUGCAAGGAAGCACGGAGGCAGAGAGAGAGAUGCCCCAUUGGCGGGCUUCAGGCAGUCAGAUCUAUGUGAGCUGAAAGAUGGGUGGGGGGCUCAAGGAAGCCACGGGAAUUUAAUGUAAAUACUGCACAGGCACCGAGGGUCAAGGGGAAACAGCAUGUCACUGCUCUCUGUCUUCUGCCACGCCAUGCCCCAUUAUCUCUUUAGACUGAGAACCAGAACCAUUUCCUUGGUUUUAAAGGUCUGCUCCUACUUAAGCAGAAGGUGGUAUAGAUGUGCUAUCCUGGGAAAAGACCAAGCCACUGUGUGUGCGAGUGCAUCCGUGUGUGUUCAUACACCCUGAGCACUCCUAACAGCCUUGGGAAGACCACAGAACUUCAUCUGGGACACUGGCUAAUUGCAUAUGAAGUGUGGGUACCGUGAGCAACCCAGGGCAGCCAGCGUGGAAGCGGCACUACUGAUCUCUUUCAUUCGUAAAAAUGUGCGGGCAUCUCUGGUGCCAGGGGCUGGGCCACGAGCUAUGAAUACAAAGAUACACGAGUACUUCUGCUGGGGCCAGUUGGCUCCUGAAGGGCAGCUACCUUUGGUGGCCCUCAGAGCCCAGACAAUGCCUGGCACUUGAUAAGCACUCAGUGGGUGCUGGAGGAUGCUUUAGCUGGAGAGGGAGGAGAAAGACACGCACACGAAGUACAAUGCAGAAUGACAAGGGCCCCACGCAGUUCUGAACCACGUCCUGAGUGCAGAGCACUCUUCUGCAGGGGAGGGAGCAAAUGAGGAGUGAGUGGGCGAUGCAGACGCCACAGGAGGCCAGGAGGGCCCCAGGCACCCCGUGCAGCCUCUCCAUCUCACCUGCUUUUGUCUCUGUGUGUCACCUGAGUCAAGUGUCCUUGUUCCAUUUUCUACGGCUCUUUGAAUUUCAUGUCUAGAUCCUUCUUACUUAUUAAUCCUGAACAGCCAGACAUUUCUUAUUCAGUGGCUCAAUGCGGCUUAAAAAGUGCCACAAAACUACGAGUCCACUUGAAUUCCCAAGUGGUGGCCUCUGUUGAAACAAGAGCCCUGGGAGUGGCCGGUGAGAGAACACGGCAUUGUGUUGGACCAGUUCUCGUGGGCAGUUUCUAGGUUUGUCUGAAGGGCAGUCGGUGGCGUACCCUGAAGGAGAACAGUUCGUGGAAACUCCCUCUGGAGGGAACAAUGAUGAUGAUGGUGAGAGAACACACACUCACACUCCACUUCCUUUCUACCAGGCCCUUAGAUGCAGCAUUUUUUUUUACAUAUAUUAACUCAUUUAAUCUUGCCAACAAUCUAAUGAGUAGAUACUAUUGUAAUCCCCAUUUUACAGGUGAGGAGAAUGAGGCCCAGAGAGGUUAUGUCACCUGACUAAGGCCACACGAGUAGAAAGUGAACCCAGAUUUGAUCCCAGGCCAGCUGGCUCCAGGGUUCACAUCCUUAACACUAUACUAUACAUUGUCCCAGUUUUAUGAAAGGGCUUUUAUUUCUUAUAUGAAUAUGUCUAGAACAUGGUCACUUCUGUGUUCCCAUGUAAGGCCAGGAGAAAGUUUAUUAGGGAAAAAUCUUGCAUAUGCUAAGCCCUAGAGGUUGCCUGGUCAGUCUAUGGAGGCUCAGACUCUGUGAGAACAGAUUAAAACAAAGUGAUAUUUGAGCAGUA